rnacentral:rRNA from 1 species
UACAGAGGGGGCAAGCGUUGUCCGGAUUUACUGGGCGUACAGCGCGCGCAGGCGGUUACGUAUGUGAGCGGUGACAUCCGCGGGCUCAACCCGCGGCGGCCCGCUUACACAGCGCGACUGGAGGCAGGGAGAGGGAUGUGGAAUACCCGGAGGAGCGGUGAAAUGCGUAGAGAUCGGGUGGAACACCAGCGGCGAAGGCGGCAUCCUGGCCCUGACCUGACGCUGAGGCGCGAUAGCGUGGGGAGCAAACGGG